CGAACUGUGCGAACGUUAUUCGGAAUCACUGGGCUUACAGGGUGCGUAGGCGGCUUUUCAAGUCAGGUGUGAAAGCCCCCGGCUCAACCGGGGAAUUGCGCUUGAAACUGGAGAGCUCGAGUCAGCUAGAGGUGCACGGAACUUCCAGUGGAGCGGUGAAAUGUGUUGAUAUUGGAAGGAACACCGGAGGCGAAAGCGGUGCACUGGGGCUGGUCUGACGCUGAGGCACGAAAGCCAGGGGAGCGAACGGGAUUAGAUACCCCGGUAGUCCUGGCCGUAAACGAUGAGUGCUGGACGGGAGGGGGUUCGCCCUCUCCGGUCGGAGCGAAAGCGGGAAGCACUCCGCCUGGGGAGUAUGGUCGCAAGGCUG
rnacentral:rRNA from 1 species